UACGAAGGGGGCUAGCGUUGCUCGGAAUCACUGGGCGUAAAGGGUGCGUAGGCGGGUCUUUAAGUCAGGGGUGAAAUCCUGGAGCUCAACUCCAGGACUGCCUUUGAUACUGAGGAUCUUGAGUCCGGGAGAGGUGAGUGGAACUGCGAGUGUAGAGGUGAAAUUCGUAGAUAUUCGCAAGAACACCAGUGGCGAAGGCGGCUCACUGGCCCGGUACUGACGCUGAGGCACGAAAGCGUGGGGAGCAAACAGG
rnacentral:rRNA from 1 species